rnacentral:rRNA from 1 species
GAUGAACGCUGGCGGCGUGCCUAAUACAUGCAAGUCGAGCGAACAGAUGAGGAGCUUGCUCCUCUGACGUUAGCGGCGGACGGGUGAGUAACACGUGGAUAACCUACCUAUAAGACUGGGAUAACUUCGGGAAACCGGAGCUAAUACCGGAUAAUAUAUUGAACCGCAUGGUUCAAUAGUGAAAGACGGUUUUGCUGUCACUUAUAGAUGGAUCCGCGCCGCAUUAGCUAGUUGGUAAGGUAACGGCUUACCAAGGCAACGAUGCGUAGCCGACCUGAGAGGGUGAUAGGCAACACUGGAACUGAGACGCGGUCCAGACUCCUACGGGAGGCAGCAGUAGGGAAUCUUCCGCAAUGGGCGAAAGCCUGACGGAGAAACGCCGCGUGAGUGAUGAAGGUCUUCGGAUCGUAAAACUCUGUUAUUAGGGAAGAACAAAUGUGUAAGUAACUAUGCACGUCUUGACGGUACCUAAUCAGAAAGCCACGGCUAACUACGUG